rnacentral:rRNA from 1 species
AUUGAACGCUGGCGGCAGGCCUAACACAUGCAAGUCGAACGGUAACAGGAAGCAGCUUGCUGCUUCGCUGACGAGUGGCGGACGGGUGAGUAAUGUCCGGGAAGCUGCCUGGUGGAGGGGGAUAACUACUGGAAACGGUAGCUAAUACCGCAUAAUGUCGCAAGACCAAAGAGGGGGACCUUCGGGCCUCUUGCCAUCGGAUGUGCCCAGAUGGGAUUAGCUUGUUGGUGGGGUAACGGCUCACCAAGGCGACGAUCCCUAGCUGGUCUGAGAGGAUGACCAGCCACACUGGGACUGAGACACGGUCCAGACUCCUACGGGAGGCAGCAGUGGGGAAUAUUGCACAAUGGGCGCAAGCCUGAUGCAGCCAUGCCGCGUGUAUGAAGAAGGCCUUCGGGUUGUAAAGUACUUUCAGCGGGGAGGAAGGGAGUAAAGUUAAUACCUUUGCUCAUUGACGUUACCCGCAGAAGAAGCACCGGCUAACUCCGUG